rnacentral:rRNA from 1 species
GACGAACGCUGGCGGCGUGCCUAAUACAUGCAAGUAGAACGCUGAAGGAAGGAGCUUGCUCUUUCCGGAUGAGUUGCGAACGGGUGAGUAACGCGUAGGUAACCUGCCUGGUAGCGGGGGAUAACUAUUGGAAACGAUAGCUAAUACCGCAUAAGAGUAGAUGUCACAUGACAUUUGCUUAAAAGGUGCAAUUGCAUCACUACCAGAUGGACCUGCGUUGUAUUAGCUAGUUGGUGGGGUAACGGCUCACCAAGGCGACGAUACAUAGCCGACCUGAGAGGGUGAUCGGCCACACUGGGACUGAGACACGGCCCAGACUCCUACGGGAGGCAGCAGUAGGGAAUCUUCGGCAAUGGACGGAAGUCUGACCGAGCAACGCCGCGUGAGUGAAGAAGGUUUUCGGAUCGUAAAGCUCUGUUGUAAGAGAAGAACGAGUGUGAGAGUGGAAAGUUCACACUGUGACG